ensembl:snoRNA
GCCAUGUGGUCACAUCAAUAAAUGUAAACAAACAGCAUUCGAUAAACUCCAACCUCUAUUCAAGAUACAACUAUCAGCUGCUUAUAACACACCCAAAAGGAAUCUGGGUUCACUGUGACAAGGGGCAUAAAACUUGUGGCCUUCCUAUGACCAAAUACUCUCUACAU